GAAAAUGAUUCACUUUCCUGGGCUCCUGUGUCCCAGCGUCAGCCCAGCACUCUGGAAGGCUGAGGCAGAAGGUUCACAAGUUCAAGCCCCACCUGGGCAAAUUGAGGGACCUAGUGAGAUCCUGUGUCGAAAAUUAAAAAAAAAAAAAUUAAGUGUAUAGCAAUUAAUACUACCAUAAUUUUUACUUUCUCCCAAAGAACUUGAUUGAGAAUAGACAGUGUAGUGGUAGGGGUAUUAUUUGCCCAUGCUGUUUGAAUAUAAACUGCCUCAUCCUUUUGUGGGUCCAGACAUGAUCUCACCCAGGUUUGGUGUUGCUUUGAGAUCCCCACCACUCCCAUCUAGGCCACCUCUUAUCUGAAUUGCUCCUCCACAGGUCUUUUCCAUCCUCCCCACCCUGUGACCUCACUGGCUAUGUCCUUCCCAGUCAUUGGAGUCCUACCCCAGCCCCCACCAUUGCUAGAUCCAGCUUUGCUAUGGAGUCUUCAGUCUCAGACCUGGUCCCUACCCAUCACUCUGGCAUUGUUGAGGUCCCUCAUCCUGAGAAGACCCUCGAUGAGCUAGCUGUGUUUCCUGCCUCUGUCACUGCAAGAUGCAGAGCUACGCUGAGAUUUUCAACUUCUCUCUGAGCAGGGAUCCUAUUGCUAUUGAAAUGUCAUUCACAGUGCAUUAAAGUCCUCAAGCCUUUAUCUCCAUACUUCAUAAUAACAGGAGCUAAUGCUUAUUUUGUUCUUGCUCUUGCCAGGCACAGAGCUUCUUAGCGCUUCACUUUUAUGAUUUGAUCCUAGCAAAAAUCUUCUAAACUAGAUGCCACGGCAUCAGCCCUGUUUUACAGAUGAGAAAACUGACGUCCUGAAAGUUUGACCUGACCAAUGUCAAUUAUCCAGUAAAGGUUUCAAAGGGCAGCCUUUCAUCAGUAUGUCCACCAUCACAUCCCAGUGCCCACCAGGCCUCCUGCCAAGAAGCAUAGGACAGAGAAAGAUGCAGAAGGUGUUGAGCAGAAAUUGUCCCCGUCAGCCCUGCCCUUGACACGAUGCCUCUCCUCGGCUAUCUCCAAGGAAGACUGACCCGCUUUGCUCUUGGUCUGAAAAUGCACACAAACCUUUGUAUUCUCAGGAUGGGUGCUAAUAUUAACUGCAGGCAAACAAGACAUGAGCCAGCACUGAAGAUAUGCCGAAGGCCCCACAGCAUCUCCCACAAAGGAAAUAGGAGAUGACAAGGUUGGGCAUGUGCCAAGAGCUCCAUUGGGUUCUCGGCUUGGCAGAAAGUGGCCACGGCUAUCUGCUCUCCUAAGAGGUGGUGGACAUUUGGCCCAGGCACCCUAGGUGGGCACAAUGCAUUAACCAUGAGGCUGGUCAAAGAGAAAAGGGCUUCCUAGAGACACAAGAGAAAACCCACAAGGUACAGAACACACCAACAGGAAUCCGGUCCACCCCUAAGAGUAUGGGUGCUGAAGAA
rnacentral:lncRNA from 1 species